UGGGGAAUAUUGCACAAUGGGGGGAACCCUGAUGCAGCGACGCCGCGUGGAGGAAGAAGGUCUUCGGAUUGUAAACUAUUGUCGUUAGGGAAGAAAAAGGGACAGUACCUAAGGAGGAAGCUCCGGCUAACUACGUGCCAGCAGCCGCGGUAAUACGUAGGGAGCGAGCGUUAUCCGGAUUUAUUGGGUGUAAAGGGUGCGUAGACGGGUAGGCAAGUUAGUUGUGAAACCCCUCGGCUUAACUGAGGAACUGCAACUAAAACUGCAAAUCUUGAGUACAGGAGAGGUAAGUGGAAUUCCUAGUGUAGCGGUGAAAUGCGUAGAUAUUAGGAGGAACACCAGUGGCGAAGGCGACUUACUGGACUGAAACUGACGUUGAGGCACGAAAGUGUGGGGAGCAAACAGGAUUAGAUACC
rnacentral:rRNA from 1 species